GUUGACCUCGAAUCAGGUAGGAAUACCCGCUGAACUUAAGCAUAUCAAU
rnacentral:rRNA from 2 species